AGAGAAAUAGGGACAUCAACCAGCAAAGAUGCAUCCUCAUUUAAUAGAGCUUGAAAUUACUAUAAUCCUUAAAGUACAGCGAGAAGAAGAAAUUUCACCUGCCUGCACAUCGGUCGUUGACUCUCCAUCUGACUUGGAGGGACUCUGAGGGACCAACCUGAGCCUAAGAAGAGGCAAGAGUCCCCUUCAAGGACACACUGGGAACUUACGGACCUCUUUCUCCAUGGUGCAGAGCGCAGAGGUGAACAAACUGACUUAGAAUAGUUCUUGAGCUUGCCAUUGGGAAGUGAAAAUCAACUGCUUGAAUAAAUGUAAGGACUCAGAAGACCAGACACAGGUGCUCCAAUCCACGUAGUGUUGAAGCAGUGAAGUUUGUGUUCCAGGAACUUCGGAAUUCCUGAAUGUAUUGGUGUUGAUAAAAGGUGAUGAGAUGAAGUAGAAUGAUCGUAAACUUAGAGGUAGACAUCACCUUGUGACUCAACAGCAGCCAAUAAGAUGGAAAUAAAGGCUACGAAGUUAUUGGAUGGCAUCUACAAGGAAUACUUAGAUGAGGAGGUGACUCUGGUGGCAAUUGUUCUUUUGUCUUUCUCACCUUCCUUCUUGUCCUGUCUGGGAUGCUGAAGUGAUGGCUGGUAUACAGAUGCUCUGUUGUGAUGUUGAGAUAAACAUGAGAAUAAAAAUCAGCGAUUACAGAUGGCAGAGAAGAGAGAGAAAGACAGGAUGUAGGUGGAUAUUGAUAGAACUAAGUUUCUAUUGCACAAGUUCUACUACUAAACCUCUGGACUUCAUGAUAUGUGAGGGAGAAAUAAACUCAUAUUUUAGAAGAGAUCUAUGUUACCUGCAACUGGAUGGAAUGCCUAAUUGGCACAUCCUAUGUGCUCCAAACCUUCCUUAAUUUCUGUGUGUAAGGCAUACUUAGUCUUUACCCAUUAUUCUGUUCACAUUCAUUCACUCAAUCAGCCUCCCAACUCUAUGGUAAAGAGUUUACUAUAGUUUACUCUAUUACUAAGGCAGAUUCUGGAGCAAGCCCCACAAAUCAUAGACUGAAUAUCCAUUCAUUACAAGAGAGAGGUUUAAAGAUACUUCUAUCCAAACACAUUUUAAAUUUCCAGCAUCUUUGAGGUGGUGGAGGUUCGUGGUGGUUGAUAGGGUUUAAAUGACUUGUGAUUCAAGCUCCAUAUUAAAAUGUAACAGUGCAAAAGUUCAUUUUUAAAAAAAUUUAUUUUACUUUAAGUUCUGGUAUACAUGUGUAGAACAUGCAGGUUUGUUCCAUAGGUAUACAUGUGCCAUGGUGGUUUGCUGCACCUGUCAAACCGUCACCUAGGUUUUAAGCCCCACAUGCAUUAGGUAUUUGACCUAAUGCUCUCCCUCAUCUUGCCCCGCAACCCCUGACAGGGCCCAGUGUGUGAUGUUCCCCUCCCUGUGUCCAUGUGUUCUCAUUGUUCAACUCCCACUUAUGAGUGAGAACAUGUGGUGUUUGAUUUUCUGUUCCUGUGUUAGUUUGCUGAGAAUGAUGGCUUCCAGCUUCAUCCAUGUCCCUGCAAAAGACAUGAACUCAUUCUUUUUUAUGGCUGCAUAAUAUUCCAUGAGUCUGGAUUUGGUUACAGAUAGAGCUGGAUGAGCCUUAGCUAUAUCUAACGGGUUUUGACAUGUUAUAUCAAUUUCUUACUGCUUUUGUAAAUGAAUAUAUUAAGAAGAAAAAAUUGCAGAUGACCCUUUCUUUACAAACUUUUAGAGUAAUCAAGUUCAGUUAUUAAAAAAUGGAUGUUUGCAACAUUCAUAGUAAUUCUUUUCAGGAAAUUAAAAAUGAUUAAAAAUGAUAAUUAUUUUGAUCCCUUUCAGAUAUUAUAUAUUUAACUGUGAGAUAAUUCUCAGAGAUAAAUGUCAACUUUUAAAAAAUGUUAAAUAAAUCAAAAAGUCCACUCUAAAAUAAAUAAA
rnacentral:lncRNA from 1 species